rnacentral:RNase_P_RNA from 1 species
AGAGUCGCCCGGAUCACCGCGUUAUUGAUUGAUUAAUUUCAAUAAAUACCGAGGAAAGUCCGGACUCCAUUGGGCAGAGUGGUGGGUAAUACCCACCCGGAGAAAUCCGCGGGAUUAGUGCAACAGAAAGUAAACCGCCAACGAAAGUUGGUAAGGGUGAAACGGCGGUGUAAGAGACCACCAGUGCACAAAGUAAUUUGUGUAGCUAUGUAAACCCCACUCGGAGCAAGACCAGAUAGUUGGCGUUUGAAUGUGCCCACAUGAGCCAACGGGUAGGUUGCUUGAUUACGUAAGCAAUUACGUAACUAGAUGGAUGGUGAUCCGUUCGCAAGAACGACAGAAUCCGGCUUACAGGGCGACUCUUCUC